rnacentral:rRNA from 1 species
CCUACGGGAGGCAGCAGUGAGGAAUAUUGGUCAAUGGACGCAAGUCUGAGCCAGCCAUGCCGCGUGCAGGAUGACGGUCCUAUGGAUUGUAAACUGCUUUUGUACGAGAAGAAACAACAUUACGUGUAAUGUCUUGACGGUAUCGUAAGAAUAAGGAUCGGCUAACUCCGUGCCAGCAGCCGCGGUAAUACGGAGGAUCCAAGCGUUAUCCGGAAUCAUUGGGUUUAAAGGGUCCGUAGGCGGUUUAGUAAGUCAGUGGUGAAAGCCCAUCGCUCAACGGUGGAACGGCCAUUGAUACUGCUAGACUUGAAUUAUUAGGAAGUAACUAGAAUAUGUAGUGUAGCGGUGAAAUGCUUAGAGAUUACAUGGAAUACCAAUUGCGAAGGCAGGUUACUACUAAUUGAUUGACGCUGAUGGACGAAAGCGUGGGGAGCGAACAGGAUUAGAUACCCUGGUAG